rnacentral:lncRNA from 1 species
UUUUAAUAUUUCAGUUCCUUUUUGGUGAUCCGCUCAGCAGUCCUCAUCUCCUAGUUUAUCCUUCCUUCCACCUCGUCCACUCAGAGUCUAGAGGAGGUCGGACCAAUCCUAAGUCUUUUGUCUUUUCUUUUUGUAAUUUUGAUAGAUCAUGUAUAGAUUGUACAGCCCAGUGGAAAAGGUAUUUUGUUGAUUGUAAAUAUUUUAUGAAUUGACAGGUCCAACUAUCAGUUUUUCUCUUAUAUGCUUAAUGUUUUGAAAUUAUAGCAGGUUAUAUGUUUUAUAUGUAUAAAUAUUAGGGGAAGUUCUGUCAGUUUUUCGGGUCAUAUCCGUCUCUACAGUUUGGAGAUUGGGUGUGACAAUUUUUAGCCUUUGGGGAGUAUGUCAGGUGGUCACCCUUUGGGGGUAGCUCUGCACAUGUGUAUGACCAGCAUUUCAUUAGCUCUUGGGCCAAAUUUGUCAUUAUAGAGCCUAAGAUGCCAGUAUUACUCUCAGACUGUUAUUAUUUUAUUAUACCUGAGAUGCCAGCAUUAUCUGCAGGGAACAUAUUAUGAGUGUAUGCGGAUUCUAUUUUUCACAGUUUAUUUUAUAUUGAUGGAAUUAAAUUGUAUUUAUUCAGCUGACUUAUUUUAGCUAAAUAUUGGGUACUAUUAAGUACCUAAACUUAUCUUUUCCCCUUUGUUAUUUAUUUAUCCGCUCACUGAGUAUGUUGUACUCACCCCUUAUAUUUCUUUUAAUAUUUCAGUUCCUUUUUGGUGAUCCGCUCGGCAGUCCUCAUCUCCUUGUUUAUCCUUCCUUCCACCUCGUCCACUCAGAGUCUAGAGGAGGUCGGACCAAUCCUAAGUCUUUUGUCUUUUUUUUUUGUAAUUUUGAUAGAUCAUGUAUAGAUUGGACAGAUUAUAGCAGGUUAUAUGUUUUAUAUGUAUAAAUAUUAGGGGAAGUUCUGUCAGUUUUUCCGGUCAUAUUCGUCUCUACAGUUUGGAGAUUGGGUGUGACA